AGUCCCGAGCGGCUUCGAGACAAGGAAGAGAAGCUACGCGGUUCACUUUAGCCAGUCAGUCAGUGGUCAGUAGCGUCAGCUUUGUUUGUGGUGUACGCGUGUGUCUUGUGUUUUCUUGAACGCUUAUUUGGGCUUUAGGUGAACCAAAACUCUCCCAAAGCCUGUCCACAGUGGUCAGCAGCUGUGACACAAGGAGCAGCUCUCUCAGCGACUGGGAGCGGUGGACGGCGGAUGAAUACUUCGGCUCCCGCGCCUUCUUCCGCAUCAUGUCCGACCCGCCGAUCCUGGUGGUGGGCCGCGUGCGUCAGAGGAGUUGAAAAUGUAUGGGACACGCUGCUGUGCUCUGCGUGUAGCUGUGAGGUGAGAGAGGACACACUAUGUUGAGGGAAGGCAGCUGCAGGAGUGAACAGCUGCAUCAGUGACAGCAGCAGCAGAGCCCCAGCACAGCAGCACACAGGACACAUUUCCAUCAUCUUUAAAUCCCGGACACAUGUGCC